rnacentral:rRNA from 1 species
UCGGGAAUCUUGCACAAUGGGCGAAAGCCUGAUGCAGCGAUGCCGCGUGAGGGAUGAAGGCCUUCGGGUUGUAAACCUCUUUCGACAGGGAAGAAGGCCGGGGUCACCCGGUUGACGGUACCUGUAGAAGAAGCCCCGGCUAACUACGUGCCAGCAGCCGCGGUAAAACGUAGGGGGCAAGCGUUGCCCGGAUUCACUGGGCGUAAAGCGCGUGUAGGCGGUCCUGUAAGUCGGUUGUGAAAUCCCACGGCUCAACCGUGGAAUUGCGUCCGAAACUGCGGGACUUGAGGACGGUAGAGGUCGGUGGAAUGUCCGGUGUACCGGUGAAAUGGGCAGAUAUCGGAUGGAACACCAGUGGCGAAGGCGGCCGACUGGGCCGUUCCUGACGCUGAGACGCGAAAGCCAGGGGAGCGAACCGG